rnacentral:lncRNA from 10 species
CGGCGUGCUCGUGCCAUGUGCCUGUCAGUUCUGCAAGCAUUUGUUGGAUGUGAAGGUUGGUGUGAUGACCACGCUGCCCACAACAGGCAAAAGGGUGCGGACAGCUGAGGCUCCUCACUUCCCGCUCCAAAGCUCAGAACCUCCCUUCCCUCCUGGAUCCAACAGAAGCAGCGGCCGCUGCUGCCUGUGCCUCUCAAACUUGUCACCCACGGAUGCUGGGAAAAAUGCACAUAAAAGGGUCCUGUCUUUGUGAUGUCAGCGUGAAGUGGAAUUCGCAGAAUGGCUAAAGUGGAGGGAAGACUUAAAAUGCAUUGGAUGAUGAUAGCAGCGUCAUUUACAAUCACCACGACUUGGAAGCAGCCGAGAUGUCCUUUGGCAGAUGAUUGGAGAAAUGAACUGUGGCACGUCCAUGCAGACCAUGAAAUACUAUUCAGUGCUAAAAAUGAGUGAGCUUUCCAUCCAUGAAAAGACAUAGAGAAACCUGAAAUGCAGAUCACAAAGUGAAAGGCCAAUCUGGAAAGGCUACACACCCUAUGACUCCAACCUGUGACAUUCCCAAAG